AGCCAGGCGUGGUGGCGGGCGCCUGUAGUCCCAGCUACUCAGGAGGCUGAGGCAGGAGAAUGGCGUGAACCCGGGAGGCGGAGCUUGCAGUGAGCCGAGAUUGCGUCACCGCACUCCAGCCUGGGCGACAGAGCGAGACUCCGUCUCAAAAAAAAUGACUGGACAAAAAACACUCUGAUGCAAACAGGCAAGAAACCCAGCAAGGCCUAUCUGGAUUCUCCUUGGCCUGUCUGCAGCAUUCAUUCCUUCUGGGUAUGGAACAGGACCCUCUGGAAUGGGGGCUGUGGCCUACAACAGUUAAACAAGAAAUCUCUCUCUGGGAACAGUGUGGAAGAUGGAUUGAAAUGGUGUAAAAUUGAAGAUGUGGACUCCGGUUGGGAGACUACACCCUAGAUAAGAUGAAGAGAACUUGAAGCAAGACAAUAGCAAUGGGAAUAUAAAGGAGAGGAGACAUUUGAGUGAAAUUAAGGAAGCACAAUCUGCAGACUGUUUUCUUUUUUUUAAGAGUCAGGGUCUCCCUAUUUUGCCCAGGCUGGUCUCAAAGUCCUAGGCUCAAGCGACCCACCCACCUCAGCCUUCCAAAAUGCUGGAAUUACAGGGGUGAACUGCCUCACCAUGCCUCAGUCUGCAGAAUUUGAUGACUGAAUGUAUUUGGAGAGAGUCUGUGGCUUGGAUGACUGGGUGAGUGGAUUGUGAUGCCGUUCAUGGAAAUGAAGAAGGCAGAGGAAGGGAGAGCAAGAGGGUGGAAGUGGGGCAGUGGGGUGCUGGUGGGCCAUCCAAGGGACACCAGCUGUUGAAUAUGUUGCAUCUGUAAAGAUACAGAUUGAUCAUUCAGAAAUAAAGAAGAGAAAAAAAGCAAAAGCAAAAAAAGUUUUAAAAUAAAAAAGAAUACAGAUUGAGAGAGUC
ensembl:lncRNA novel transcript